GCAUUGAUAGUGUAGGGGUAUCAUGAGUCGUUGCCACUCAUCGUCUGCCAAAGACGUGAAAACCGAUUUCGACUCGACCGGGGUUCGAGUCCCCGUCAAUGCA